GCAGUUUCCCCUGCGCUUUUUCUCUCUCCUGUGCCUUGUGAAGAAAGUGCCUGCUUCGCCUUCACCUUCGGCCAUGAUUGUAAGUUUCCUGAGGCCUUCUCCGCCUGCAGAGCUUUUACUGAUUAUCAAAGAAGGACUGUGACUAAACUAGAAGGAGAAUUAACACUAUCCAGAGAUGGCUACAGUUCUGAAGGGAAACUUUGAGUCUCCACCUUUCCAAGAGUGGGGCACAGAUGUCGGAGCCAGACUGCCUGGACUCAAAUCUCAGAACCUGCAUUUAUUAGCUGUGUGACUUUGGAUAAUCCUCUCUCCACAACUUGAUAAUGCACAAACUGCAAAUCUUCUGGUACUCACUGCUGCAAGCAAACUUGAAGUCUUUCUGAGCCUGACUCUUCAUUCCUGCCUUGUGUGACCCAGGGAUGGAGGACUGCCCUCCCAACUCAUUAUCCUCUUUGCCCAGGAGCUUGUCCUAGAAACAACCACAUGCUGGAGAAUGGAAUUCCAUAAGGUACUCUCUUAGAUAAAGGAAGUGCCAGCCAUCCUGUUGCCAUCUGCUAAAAUCCUCAGCCCACCUGCAUAGUGAACAGCAUUCAUUGUUUUCCAGAAAUGUGCAAGAACCACAGUCUCCCCCAAGACUGAAGGUAACAUCAGGAAGCAUACUAUGUAAGACAGAUACAAAGGGGAGCUGCUGUAUGG
rnacentral:lncRNA from 1 species